CAGGAACCCCUCAACCAUCAGGCUCUCAAACAAAAUGGUUUCACUGUAGCGGUGUGCUACACGCAGUGCUAAAAUAACGACACUGGAGUCGGUAAACUGCAGUUAAAGGAAGAUUUUAUUCUAACUUCGCGGCCUCGCUUUAAAACCUCCCUGAUCCCGCCCUCCCCUGGCGCGGAUGCUGUAGGGGCACGCACUCACAAUCCCCCGCAGGCUUUUCCCUUUGUUGGUGAAGCAGACCUGGCGCCCCUUUGGGGACUGGCCUUUGUGCCGGCGCGCUGGCUGUUUGUGAGACGGUUCCAGUGCGCUAGGAAGUGGGUCGCCACAUCACUUCACUUGCCCAUCACUGAACCUUUCCUACAACCAAUAGACUCUCUUUCAACAACUCUUCAUCUCAAGUUCUCGAUAUGUAUUAUUAUUUAUUUCUUUUUGUAUCUGCACAGUUUGUUGUCCUUUGUCGAACAGCUGAGUUGGUGCGGUUUUGCAUUGAUCUUGUUAAGGCUAUUCUCUAUUAUUGAUUUAUCGAGUCUGCCCAUGAGAAAGUGAAUCUCAGGGUUGUAUAUGCUGUACUUUGAUAAUAGAUUUUCCUUGUACUUUGAAUGGAAAGAAAUGUGAUCUCAGUGAUUUUGACGAUGGAAUGACUGUUGGUGCCAGAUGGGGUGGUUUGAGUAUCUCAGAAACUGCCGAUCCCCUGGGAUUUUCACACACAAGUCUCUAAAAUUUAGAGAAUGGAGCAAAAAACAAAGUAAAAACCAUUUAGUGAGUGGCAGAUCUGUGGGUGAAAAUGCCUUUCAAGUGAGAGGUGUGACAGGGAAGUGACAGUAGCUGGAAUAGCCAUGGGGUAUAAGGCGCCUGAAUCCCCCAGCCGGUUGCGCUUCGAGCUCCAGAUUCCAGCCUCUGCCGCUGUUGUGGUUGAGGUGGCCAGCAGGAAAUCAGGCCUUUCAGCCACUGAGUCAGUACUGACCAGUAAGCACGUCCCAUUUUUAUACCUCUCACAUUCUCCCCCCAAACCCAGAUUCAUUGGAACUAACAGAACUAUUACUAGUUUACUGAAACCAUUCCAACUUUUAUAUGCAGCCUGCACUGUGUGGGUCAAAUGUGUUGUGCUAGUUAACCAAGUGUAUACCUGACCUUUUCCAUGGUGGUCCUGGACCCCGGCUGCCGGGGAUCACCGGGAGAUCCCCAGGAUUUGUUGUACACCCCAGGAGUGUGUCGGUCAGUAUUUACAGGAGGUCCCGGGGAGUGUGUCAGUAUUUACAGGGGGUCCCGGGGAGUGUGUCAGUAUUUACAGGGGGUCCCGGGGAAUGUGUCAGUAUUUACAGGGGGUCCUGGGGAGUGUGUCAGUAUUUACAGGAGGUCCCGGGGAGUGUGUCAGUAUUUACAGGGGGUCCCGGGGAGUGUGUAUUUACAGGGGGUCCCGGGGAAUGUGUCAGUAUUUACAGGGGGUCCCGGGGAGUGUGUCAGUAUUUACAGGAGGUCCCGGGGAGUGUGUCAGUAUUUACAGGGGGUCCUGGGGAGUGUGUCAGUAUUUACAGGGGGUUCCGGGGAAUGUGUCAGUAUUUACAGGGGGUCCUGGGGAGUGUGUCAGUAUUUACAGGGGGUCCCGGGGAGUGUGUCAGUAUUUACAGGAGGUCCCGGGGAGUGUGUCAGUAUUUACAGGGGUUCCCAGGGAGUGUGUCAGUAUUUACAGGGGUUUCCGGGGAGUGUGUCAGUAUUUACAGGGGUUCCCAGGGAGUGUGUCAGUAUUUACAGGGGUCACGGGGAGUGUGUCAGUAUUUACAGGAGGAUACUGGAGAGUGUGUCAGUAUUUACAGGGGAUCCCGGGGAGUGUGUCAGUAUUUACAGGGGGUCCCGGGGAGUGUGUCAGUAUUUACAGGGGGAUACUGGAGAGUGUGUCAGUAUUUACAGGGGAUCCCGGGGAGUGUGUCAGUAUUUACAGGGGGUACCGGGGAGAGUGUCAGUAUUUACAGGGGGUCCCGGGGAGUGUGUCAGUAUUUAAUGGGAUUUCGGGGACUGUCUGUGUAACACAGGCUCUCUUUAAUCUGGCCAGGACACCUACAUUCCCCUUAAUCUCAGCGGUUUACCCUAAUGUCGAACACCUUUAGUAAUAAAGAGAAGUGAAACCGUGUCAAAGAGGAACGACCUCACAGAGACGGGAAAGGGCCUGUGUACUGUACCGGUGAAGAUGCCAGUUUGGAUGGUAGUCUCAGAAAGGGCCAGAGAAAUAAGAAAAGGGGUUGCAAUGCAUUUUUAUUUGUUGAUUAUAUGUAAAAAAACUUCUUGCAGACAAUGGGAGGGCAUCGGGUGGGUUGGUCUGUGCUGGUCACUGGGGUGGUACAUUUCACACACCGCGUAUGCGUUCCAAACAAGACAAAGCAGCUUUGCGAGAACCUUGGGAAGGUCUUUAAUGAACCACAAAGAUUAAAACAGGGAGUUGACCCUCUGCCAGCCCCACCAGGCAGCUCUGAACCAGCAGAGGGUUGUCCGGAGGCCAGUCAGAGUCGGCCUGUGGGCAGCUGCAAGACAGAAGUGUUUAGCCUCCGUGGGAUGUGGACACAGCACAGUCUCACUGUCCUAUCUGCCACUGAAAUGUUCCCAGCGCCCUGACAUCAACGGGACUGGCCAGCAGCAGCUGAGUCGGGAUCUUUACUGGCCAUGCAAAGGAACAGGCUGAGUGGCUCCGACCUCCCACUGUCACUGUCAGAGGGUGAAAACUGCCCCCAGUUUCACUGUGGGCUCCCAGGAGGGCGGUGACAGCAUGUUGAUCGCACUCGAGGAAGACAGCAUACCUGCGAUUCUUGGAAGUCGGGAUGUGGAAAUACCUUGUAUCUGGGUUGGGUGGGGGGGGGGGGGG